rnacentral:lncRNA from 1 species
UCUCCUUCUACAACACACCUACGAAAGAGCAGACGCGGACCUGCGGUGACGUCAUGGCCUGGGGCCAGGGCUACCUCAAAGCCAAGUUCAAGUCCUGCCUGGGCUCUGCGAUAUGCCUGGGCUCCUGGUGCGAAGCGGAGGAGGCCAUAACCUGCACCUCGCGGAUACCCUGGUUCGAGAGCAAGUGCCAGUGCUGUGACUGGUGCCUCCUGCGGACGCUCGCGUGUAUCAAUACAGACCAUGACCGGGGAAGCUUCCA